UACGAAGGGGGCUAGCGUUGCUCGGAAUCACUGGGCGUAAAGCGCACGUAGGCGGCUUUGUAAGUUAGAGGUGAAAGCCCAGAGCUCAACUCUGGAAUUGCCUUUGAGACUGAGUGGCUUGAGUACGGGAGAGGUGAGUGGAAUUCCCAGUGUAGAGGUGAAAUUCGUAGAUAUUGGGAAGAACACCGGUGGCGAAGGCGGCUCACUGGCCCGUAACUGACGCUCAUGCACGACAGCGUGGGGAUCAAACAGG
rnacentral:rRNA from 1 species